CACUCUCUCACUUUCUCCCUCGCUCUAUCACCCACUCCCCACACACACACACACACACACACAUUCCGGCAACACACACACACCGGCGCAGUAUAAACACCAGGCCACUUAUGUAGGCUACGGCGAAAGGUCUGCGUGGAGCCUCCGCAUUAAAGCAUAAAUCAAGUAUUAAACUGUGACUGUGAUCA